AGGUCCCAGCUCUACUCCUCAUAGAAAGCUUCGUCACUCAGGAGUAAUGACGGGACCUGA
rnacentral:pre_miRNA from 1 species